rnacentral:tmRNA from 1 species
GGGGGUGUAAUAGAUUCGACGGGUAUCUGUUGCCACCCGGGAGCAAGUGCCGGUUGGCCAGGCCGGCUAAAAUAGGGCCAAAAAAAUAAGCAACAACAAUCAAGUUGCCUGGGCUAACGCUUAGUCCACGGUGCCUUUGGUGUUUUCCAUGCGCUAAAGGAGCACCGUCAAACCAUGGAAUGCUGCCAAGUAGGCGCGGUUCGUCCGCCUUGGCUUAAGACAAACGAACUAAACCGCCGUCGUGCUGUCUUGCGCUUAGACGGCGGUAACCAGCAAGACUAAACUUGUAGCGUCCGGGAGGAAAAGAUGUUCGGACGGGGGUGCGAAUCCCCCCACCUCCACU